AGGAGGUCCAGAACCUGUUACCAUGGUUAGGGUGCUAUGUGAUCCAGAGCUAGGAGAGCAAGGGAAAGUUUCUGCAAGAGCUUUUAUCAACUGCAUCAACAAGAUAAGGAAGAGAGACACUAACACUUGUUUUGGAGCAAGUUCACAUUCUCAUCCGGACUGAUUCAGAUCUCUAGAAGUCAAGCUAAUGACUAAAAAUAAGUGCUAAGUGGGAGGCAAACCACUAUUAGGUAUUUUCUUUAAAGCUAAGUUUUAAUUUUUACUGAUUUUCGUUUUCAAAUUUUAUGCAAAAAAAAAGAGAUCCAAGGUUCAUGAGUUUAGGACCAGCAUCGAUCGACUGCUGGCCAGCGUAUCGAUCGACAGAGCAUCAUAAGUAUCGAUCGCCACUUAACUGUGUUGGGCGAUACUGACAUCAAUGGCAGUUAUACUCGCGAAACCUUGUUAAAUUUAGUACUUAUGGUUUAUUUUCCAACCAUCUUAGACUGUAUAACACUGGGACAGUGUUGUUUAAGUCUGGGGGAGGUUCUACUAAUAUUAUGCUUUAUUUUGGGUAUAUAAAAAAAGGAUCCGUGGAGACGAUUUCCUGGCCUACUGAGCGAUGAGACCAGAUCGAUAUCAAUCAACAGUACCACACCAGAAUCAGCCGACGAAAACUCAAACACGUGGAUCGAUAAUCAACAUCAGCGAGCAGGUAUAUCGUUCUACCUUGUUACUUAUGCACUUAUGAUUUAUUUCCCACCAAACUCCGGCUAGAUAAACACUAAGGACAGUGUAAUCUAUGUCUGGGGGAGGUUUAUUGAUAUUUAUUUUAUCUAUGAGUUUUAUAAAAUGUUUUCAAAAGAGUUUUAUUGAGUCAAGAAGGAUUAUCUAACCUCUCUCUAGCACCAUUCUUAGAUUUAUUGACCGCAGAGUGUACUAGAGAUACCAAAGCGGGUCACCAGCCAAUUAUCCACACUUGCUGAUAUUGUUUGAAGGAACCAAAGCUGACCUCCAACCUAAUUGAGCUUAAUCUGCUUGUCUUCGGGCUUGGUAUACAUUGGAUUGGAUUCUUCCUGCAAGUCCGGAAGGUAAGAAAGUAUGUGUGUCGCUACUCCCCCCUCA
rnacentral:lncRNA from 1 species